CCUACGGGAGACAGCAGUGAGGAAUAUUGCACAAUGGGCGAAACCCUGAUCCAGCGACGUCGCGUGAGUGAAGAAUGAUUUCGGUAUGUAAAGCUCUAUCAGCAAGGAAGAAAAGGACGGUACCUGACUAAGAAGCCCCGGCUAACUACGUGCCAGCAGCCGCGGUAAUACGUAGGGGGCAAGCGUUAUCCGGAUUUACUGGGUGUAAAGGGAGCGUAGACGGCAGUGCAAGUCUGGAGUGAAAGGCGGGGGCUCAACCCCCGGAGUGCACUUGAAACUGUAAGGCUGGAGUGCAGGAGAGGUAAGUGGAAUUCCUAGUGUAGCGGUGAAAUGCGUAGAUAUUAGGAAGAACACCAGUGGCGAAGGCAGCUUACUGGACUGUAACUGACGUUGAGGCUCGAAAGCGUGGGGAGCAAACAGGAUUAGAUACCCGGGUAGUC
rnacentral:rRNA from 1 species